GGUGACCCUGGCUACCUUGUCAUUUUUUUGUUAUAGACCAACAGUUCUUGCGUGAUUUCGUGGCUGCUGUUAAUAUUUUGGUGAUAGUUCUGAUGCUUCUAAUGAGAAGUCUGCAGUUCUUUUAUUUGACAUUGAAUAUGGCACGUGCAGAAAUUUUAUUGAUGAAUGAAAAUGGAACUCGGCUUGCACAAAACAAUUUGCUCACGGAUAUCAAGGUGUUCCCGUCUUCCUUCAGCAUAAAGGCUGCUUUAGGAAACCUGAAAAUUAGCGAUGAUAGCCUCCCCGGUAGCCAUUCGUAUUUUUGGAUGUGUGAUAUGAGAAAUCCUGGAGGCAGUUCAUUUGUCGAGAAUGUUCACCUUGGAGGUCAGCCAAGGCCUGGUGACAAGCAGGAUGACAUCAUAAUGACCAGCACCUGACCAACAUUCUGAAUAUCAUGUCCAUAAAGUGGGAAGCUUAUUACUGAAGUACAGGAUCCUAUGCAGAGGUAUCAUUUUGAAUAUCAUA